GGGCCCGUGGCCUAGAUCGGAGAGGGUAUUCUGGAUUAAGGCGUCGGCCUGCGGAGCCGGAGGUCCUGGGUUCAAAUCCCAGCGGGCCCACCA
rnacentral:tRNA from 1 species